rnacentral:rRNA from 1 species
UACGUAGCGUGCAAGCGUUGUCCGGAAUUAUUGGGCGUAAAGAGCUCGUAGGCGGUUUGUCGCGUCUGCUGUGAAAACUCGGGGCUUAACCCCGGGCCUGCAGUGGGUACGGGCAGACUAGAGUGCGGUAGGGGAGACUGGAAUUCCUGGUGUAGCGGUGAAAUGCGCAGAUAUCAGGAGGAACACCAAUGGCGAAGGCAGCUCGCUGGGACGGUACUGACGCUGAGACGCGAAAGCGUGGGGAGCAAACAGG